rnacentral:rRNA from 1 species
UUCCAAGGGUACGAGAUAAAUGGGAAUACAUUUUACACCAUCGCCCAAGAUAAAAAGAGCACCAACCAAAACAGUGGUGUCCGCUUUGAUGCAGCAACCGAGAAUGGGCAAAAGGUCACAUAUUAUGGUUACAUAGAGGAGAUAUGGGAACUUGACUAUGGACCCUCCUUUAAGGUCCCUUUGUUCCGGUGCAAAUGGUUCAAGCUAACAGGAGGUGGGGUAAAGGUGGACGAGCAAUACGGAAUGACAAUGGUGGAUUUCAACAAUCUUGGUUACCUUGACGAACCAUUCGUCCUUGCCAAAGAUGUCGCUCAGGUUUUUUUACUUGAAGGACAUGAGUAG